CAAAGACUUUGUUUUGUUUGUUAACAAUUCUUGUCGAAUAGAACAAGAUGCAUUUGAUCAAAGUUAUUUUGAUCUUCGUUUUUUUCGUCUUGUUGGAAAUGUGUCAGUGCUUACCUGUGGAUAAUCAACACAAUUCGAACGAGUAUAUUGGGACUUCCCUUGGCAGAGAAGUUCGUAUGAAAAGACAAAUCUUUAAUCCUCCGCCAGAUGGAUCAGACUGGCAAAAACCACGAGGGGGAUAGAUUUUGCAAAUUCGGCGCAGUUUAGCAAAUAUUCAUAUUAUGUUCAUUUUUUGUGUGAAACAUAACAAAUAAAAAAUUGUAUAAUAGAAUGUAUUGUGUAGUUUAUUUUGUGAGUUUCAAUUAUAAAUAAUUGAGUACUUUGAUCUUUGAGCCCGUUCUUUAUGUUCAAUUCUUGAGCGAAAAAUAAUAAAUGUCCUAUUGUUUUUGGGAAAUAAAAAAUUGAAAUUAUGAAAAUCUAUCGAAUAUCCAUUGUAUUAACUUUACAAAAAUGAACUUGCUUCCGUCUUAAAUUGAUAUAUUGGUCCAAAAAGAUUCAGUUUUGGUGAAUUUGAAAAAAAAAAUACCGCAAUUCGAACAGUCAUAAUAUCUAAGAAGCGAUUUACGCGAUUCUAAGAAGUACCUUAAGCAAAAAGAAGAAAAUGAGUUUUACUGAUAAUAAUAUUUGCCUUGGUCGCCAAUUUUGUAUUGCGCACAAUUCCCUGAACUGAUAUCCAAAAACUAAAAUUAUACGAUGUAUAAAAAACCAAAAUAAUUUGAGUAACAACGAAUCAUUGCGAUUCCAUAUGUCUUUCUACACGCGUACUGUGCGAUACCCACGCCAAGCAUCUUAUCAUAGUGGCCAUAUACAACCAAAAUACUUAUUUACUUACUUUCGGCUUGUCAUUUGCGAUAAAAAUAUUUCGAGUUAUUCAAUGUUUUUCAGUAGAUUUUAAACGCUGUUCGGAUCGUUGAUACACAUUUAGAAAGAGAGAUUUUGUUUGAAGACUUUGUUUUGUUUGUUAACAAUUCUUGUCGAAUAGAACAAGAUGCAUUUGAUCAGAGCAUUUUCGAUCUUCUUUUUUCUUGUCAUGUUGGUUAUGUGCCGGUGUCUCCCUGUGAGAAAUCAACACGAUUUGAUUGAUGUUAUUAGGUUAGAUGCUCGCAUAAAACGACAAAU